AUAGUUGCUGCUCAUUCCCUCUCAUCAGCUCCUUUUUCUAAUGAAAAUUGAACCUCGUUUUGUCUUUGUCUCUCCUCUCCAGUAGCCGCAUCUUUCCUAUUUAUAUACGGUGCAAGGUUAUUGACUCACUGCAUGCAUAUUUAUAUAUGAAAGAAUGGGAUAUAAAGAGCUUAUGAUAAGAAGCUACGACAUGCAAAAGGAUAGAGCUCGAGUAGAAGAUCUUGAGAGAAGAUGUGAGGUAGGCCCAACUGAAAGAGCGGUUCUCUUCACAGAUACUAUGGGUGACCCAAUCUGUAGAAUCAGAAAUAGUCCGAUGUAUAAGAUGCUGGUAGCAAAGUUGGGAGACGAACUGGUUGGUGUCAUUCAAGGCUCUAUAAAGCUUGUAGCCCUUCAUCAUAACCCUCAUAAUGAUCUUGCGAAGCUGGGCUACAUCUUAGGCUUGAGAGUAGCGCCCUCUCAUCGGCGAAAAGGGAUUGGAUUGAGGCUAGUACUCAAACUAGAAGAAUGGCUCAUUGCAAAUGAUGUUGAUUAUGCGUACAUGGCGACAGAGAAAGACAAUGAAGCUUCGGUUGAGCUCUUCAUGAACAAACUCAAUUAUGUCAAGUUCUUGACACCAGCUAUUCUAGUAAAUCCAGUUAAUUAUAGAACAUUACCUAUAUCAUCAAGCAUUGAGGUAGCAAAGGUCCAGCCUGAAAAAGCUGAGCUACUAUAUCGCAAAUUCAUGACUUCAACUGAGCUCUUUCCCGACGACAUAGGCAAUAUACUAACUAAUAAGUUAAGCUUGGGGACUUGGGCGGCUUAUCCUAGAGGUGAAUCAUGGGGUGAUUUUGGUUCGGAUGGAAAAUUUCCAAGCAAUUGGGCUGUUCUUAGUGUAUGGAACAGUGGAGAACUGUUCAAGCUCAGGCUAGGGAAAGCACCCUUACCUUGCUUAUUAUACACAAAGAGCUCCAGGCUGAUUGGUAAAAUGUUUCCUUGCUUUAAACUGCCAACAAUACCUGAUUUUUUUCAGCCAUUUGGAUUCUACUUCAUGUAUGGAGUGCACCAUGAAGGACCCUCAUCGGGAAAGCUGGUUCGUGCCUUGUGCAAAUUUGUUCACAACAUGGCUAAAAGGAACAAGGAUUGUAAAGUUGUUGUAACAGAAGUUGGAGGUAGCGACAUCCUAAGGCUUCACAUCCCACACUGGAAAUCACUCUCUUGUCCAGAAGAUUUGUGGUGCAUAAAGGCCUUGAAAAAUGAAGAGAAGAUCUUUGAUGAAUUGACAAAAACCCCACCAACAACAUCUCUUUUUGUAGACCCAAGAGAGGUUUGAACAAGAAAUUAAAAUAUCCCUGACCUUACGCCUUCCUGCUUCAGGCCAAACCCCACUUCAUGUAUUGUUAGAUAAGUCCAUCCAUCUCUCUUUGUGGGGGCUUUCCUCUUGUUCCUUUCACAUCGGUGACACAAAAUCUCAAAAGAUUUCCUUAGUUAGGUGCCACCCUCUUUGUCCUUCUUCUCAACUCCAAUUUCGCAACCUCAUGAUCUUGACUAAUCAAGAAGCUCGGUGGUCCAUCUUUGUCUCUUUCCCUUUGGGUAAAAAUGUCCCAAUGGACCAUCCCCUUCCUUAAUUUGUCGCCUCUGCAUAUAGCUGAGCUCUUUAACAUGCACG
rnacentral:misc_RNA from 1 species